rnacentral:rRNA from 1 species
UGGGGAAUUUUGCACAAUGGGGGAAACCCUGAUGCAGCGACGCCGCGUGAUUUAGAAGGCCUUCGGGUUGUAAAAAUCUUUUCUAUGGGAAGAAAAUGACAGUACCAUAGGAAUAAGGACCGGCUAAUUACGUGCCAGCAGCCGCGGUAAUACGUAAGGUCCGAGCGUUGUCCGGAAUCAUUGGGCGUAAAGGGUACGUAGGCGGGUAAGCAAGUUAGAAGUGAAAUAAUAUAGCUCAACUAUAUAAAGCUUUUAAAACUGCUAGGCUUGAGAGAAGGAAGGGAAAGUGGAAUUCCUAGUGUAGCGGUGAAAUGCGCAGAUAAUAGGAAGAAUACCGGUGGCGAAGGCGACUUUCUGGUCAUCAUCUGACGCUGAGGUACGAAAGCGUGGGUAGCAAACAGG